rnacentral:rRNA from 1 species
AUUGAACGCUGGCGGCAUGCCUUACACAUGCAAGUCGAACGGUAACAGGUCUUCGGAUGCUGACGAGUGGCGAACGGGUGAGUAAUACAUCGGAACGUGCCCGAGAGUGGGGGAUAACGAGGCGAAAGCUUUGCUAAUACCGCAUACGAUCUCAGGAUGAAAGCAGGGGACCGCAAGGCCUUGCGCUCACGGAGCGGCCGAUGGCAGAUUAGGUAGUUGGUGGGAUAAAAGCUUACCAAGCCGACGAUCUGUAGCUGGUCUGAGAGGACGACCAGCCACACUAGGACGGAGACACGGCCCAGACUCCUACGGGAGGCAGCAGUGGGGAAUUUUGGACAAUGGGCGCAAGCCUGAUCCAGCCAUGCCGCGUGCAGGAUGAAGGCCUUCGGGUUGUAAACUGCUUUUGUACGGAACGAAAAGACUCUGGUUAAUACCUGGGGUCCAUGACGGUACCGUAAGAAUAAGCACCGGCUAACUACGUGCCAGCCGCCGCCGCGGUAA